rnacentral:rRNA from 1 species
UACGUAGGGGGCAAGCGUUGUCCGGAUUUAUUGGGCGUAAAGAGCGUGUAGGCGGCCAGAUAGGUCUGUUGUGAAAACUCGAGGCUCAACCUCGAGACGCCGAUGGAAACCAUUUGGCUAGAGUCCGGAAGAGGAGAGUGGAAUUCCUGGUGUAGCGGUGAAAUGCGCAGAUAUCGGGAGGAACACCGGUGGCGAAGGCGGUUCUCUGGGCCUGACCUGACGCUGAGGAGCGAAAGCGUGGGGAGCGAACAGG